rnacentral:rRNA from 1 species
UACAGAGGUCCCAAGCGUUGUUCGGAUUCAUUGGGCGUAAAGGGCGCGUAGGCGGGAUGGCAAGUCGGUCGUGAAAUCCCUCGGCUCAACUGAGGAUCGUCGAUCGAUACUGCCGUUCUUGAGGAUUGCAGAGGAGACUGGAAUUCCCGGUGUAGCGGUGAAAUGUGUAGAGAUCGGGAGGAACACCGGUGGCGAAGGCGGGUCUCUGGGCAAUUCCUGACGCUGAGGCGCGAAAGCGUGGGGAGCAAACGGG